CUGAAGUCUCUUCUCUGCCUCUUGAAGGUUUCAUUCAUUGACUCUGCAUCAGUCUGUCCUACGCUGGCUUCUGAAAAGGCAGAAUUGGGAGUCCAAGUCAACUUCAGGGCCAAUCGACGCAUGACAUUAAACGCAUGGUUUCAUGGGCAGAGGAGGCUGGCCUAUUUGGCCAAUCGGAGUGAAAAGAGUGCCUAUUAGUUCCUGCUUCAAACAGCCAAGUUGUGGAGAGUGAGAAUUUUGUAACUGCAGAAGAAGAGACAGUGAAUCCUGAUGGGAGCAUCCCAUCUACAUCAUCAAGCAAUUUGGUAGCAGCGGGAGAUAAACAUACAGGCACUGAAUCCAGUAAUUCAGACUUCCUGAUUACACAAAAAAGUGGGCUGACGCAAACAUGGCUAAAUUUGUUUGGAAGGGACCAAAUAUCAUCUAGUUCAAC